rnacentral:rRNA from 1 species
UGGGGAAUAUUGGACAAUGGGGGCAACCCUGAUCCAGCAAUGCCGCGUGUGUGAAGAAGGUUUUCGGAUUGUAAAGCACUUUCGACGGGGACGAUGAUGACGGUACCCGUAGAAGAAGCCCCGGCUAACUUCGUGCCAGCAGCCGCGGUAAUACGAAGGGGGCUAGCGUUGCUCGGAAUGACUGGGCGUAAAGGGCGUGUAGGCGGUUUGUACAGUCAGAUGUGAAAUCCCCGGGCUUAACCUGGGAGCUGCAUUUGAUACGUGCAGACUAGAGUGUGAGAGAGGGUUGUGGAAUUCCCAGUGUAGAGGUGAAAUUCGUAGAUAUUGGGAAGAACACCGGUGGCGAAGGCGGCAACCUGGCUCAUAACUGACGCUGAGGCGCGAAAGCGUGGGGAGCAAACAGGAUUAGAU